rnacentral:ncRNA from 2 species
CCGAACCGACAGGGGAGCGCGGAAGCGCUGAGAGUGCGGCACCGGGCCGCAGACCCUUAGACACCUGAUCCGGAUCAUGCCGGCGAAGGAAGUCGUGAGAACCCGCCA